UCCAGGCCGAAUAUCUAAGGUUUCCAGGGUAAAGCUGAUCUGCCCUGGGUAAGUCGGGGCCUAAGGCAAGGCUGAGAAGCGUAGCUGAUGGACAACAGGUUUAGAUUCCUGUACCACAUGGUAUCAGAACUGUGGGGACGCAGAGGGAUAAGAUGACCGGGGGACAGAUUCCCGGGCAAGCGCAGGAGGUGUCAGGCAGGCAAAUCCGUCUGACAAGCCAAAGGCGUGACGCGGACCGAACUAAAGUAGGGAAGCAUCUGAUUCCAGCUGCCGAGAAAAGCCGCUAUUGUGUACCAUGUGCCCGUACCGUAAACCGACACAGGUGGAUGAGGAGAGAAUCCUAAGGCCGGCGGGAGAAGCAUUGUUAAGGAACUCGGCAAAAUGACCCCGUAACUUCGGGAUAAGGGGUGCCAGAGAGAUCUGGCCGCAGAGAAUAGGCUCAAGCAACUGUUUAGCAAAAACACAGGUCUAUGCGAAACCGUAAGGUGAUGUAUAUGGGCUGACGCCUGCCCGGUGCUGGAAGGUUAAGAGGAGAGGUUAGAGCAAUCGAAGCUUUGAAUUGAAGCCCCAGUAAACGGCGGCCGUAACUAUAACGGUCCUAAGGUAGCGAAAUUCCUUGUCGGGUAAGUUCCGACCCGCACGAAAGGCGUAAUGAUUUGAGCGCUGUCUCGACAAUGCACCCGGUGAAAUUGAAAUACCAGUGAAGAUGCUGGUUACCUGCGCCAGGACGGAAAGACCCCAUGGAGCUUUACUCCAGCUUGAUACUGGGAUUCGGUAAUGCAUGCACAGGAUAGGUGGGAGGCUACGAGUACGGAACUCCGGUUUCGUAUGAGCCGCUGUUGGGAUACCACCCUUGCGUUACUGGGUUUCUAACCAUGGCCCGUGAUCCGGGUCGGGGACAAUGUCAGGUGGGGAGUUUGACUGGGGCGGUCGCCUCCGAAAGGGUAUCGGAGGCGCUCAAAGGUUCCCUCAGAAUGGUUGGAAACCAUUCGAAGAGUGCAAAGGCAGAAGGGAGCUUGACUGCGAGACCGACGGGUCGAGCAGGUAGGAAACUAGGACUUAGUGAUCCGGUGGUAUGAAAGUGGGAUUGCCAUCGCUCAACGGAUAAAAGCUACCCUGGGAUAACAGGCUUAUCACUCCCAAGAGUUCACAUCGACGGAGUGGUUUGGCACCUCGAUGUCGGCUCAUCGCAUCCUGGGGCUGAAGUAGGUCCCAAGGGUUGGGCUGUUCGCCCAUUAAAGCGGUACGCGAGCUGGGUUCAGAACGUCGUGAGACAGUUCGGUCCCUAUCCGGCGCAGGCGGAGGAUAUUUGAGAGGAGCUGUCCUUAGUACGAGAGGACCGGGAUGGACGGACCGCUGGUGUACCGGUUGAGCUGCUAAGCUCAUGGCCGGGUAGCCAAGUCUGGCAGGGAUAAACGCUGAAGGCAUCUAAGCGUGAAGCCCCCCUCAAGAUGAGAUAUCCCAUUCGAAAGAAGUAAGACCCCUUGAAGACGACGAGGUAGAUAGGGCAGAGGUGGAAGUGCAGUAAUGUACGGAGCUGACUGUUACUAAUCGGUCGAGGGCUUAUC
rnacentral:rRNA from 1 species